AUUGAUUCAGGUUAAUUUAGUCUUGCUUUGUGUUUUCUCUUCUCUCUCACUCUUUUAGAUCUUCGUGUUGUGUAAUACUACGGGUUUUGUCCACUUUCAUCUUUACUCGUUUGCUUUUGUCUUUGCUUCAGGAACCCUGGUGCUGCCUCCAUGUUGCUUUUAGUCGCACCAAAUGCAGUCCAAAGUGCUCAGAAAGAAAAGAAAGCAACCUGACCUGCUCUGCGUUCUCUCUUCACCACUGACAGGAAGACAGCAGCAGAACGUGCACAAGUUCGAGGAGGAAGAGAGAGCAAAGCGAGGCUUUGAGGUCAGGUCGGAUUGUGACAAACAUCCGUCAGCAGGCGCAGAAGAAGAAAAAAAAACUCGACCUCAGAAUGUUUCCAUCAACAUGGAUGGAAAAAAACCUGCAGCUGAAGAAAUGGAUGCAGAAAAAGAAUAAAUUCGUGCAUGAUAAAAUCACCAGAAUGCAGGAAAUGAAGAGUUUCAGACUCAGAAGUUGCACAGAUUGCUGAACUCCCAUGAUUGAAGUGGACAAUUCAAGGACUAGCAUGAGUUCAACCUGCCACCACAGGCCAAGUAUUAAACAAACUGGAGAACAAUGAAGGAAGGUGUGUAAAUGUA
ensembl:lncRNA